AGAGUUUGAUCCUGGCUCAGAACGAACGCUGGCGGCGUGCUUAACACAUGCAAGUCGAACGAGAAUCGGAGCUUGCUCCGAGGAUAGUGGCGCACGGGUGCGUAACGCGUAUAGAACCUACCUUUUACAGAGGGAUAGCCCAGAGAAAUUUGGAUUAAUACCUCAUAAUAUUGUUGAAUGGCAUCAUUUGACAAUUAAAGUUUCGGCGGUAAAAGAUGGCUAUGCGUCCUAUUAGUUAGUUGGUGAGGUAACGGCUCACCAAGACAUCGAUAGGUAGGGGUCCUGAGAGGGAGAUCCCCCACACUGGUACUGAGACACGGACCAGACUCCUACGGGAGGCAGCAGUGGGGAAUAUUGCGCAAUGGGGCGAAAGCCUGACGCAGCAACGCCGCGUGAGGGAUGAAGGUUCUCGGAUUGUAAACCUCUGUCGGGGGGACAAACCUAUGCUGGCUAAUAUCCAGCAUAAUUGAUGGUACCCCCAAAGGAAGCACCGGCUAACUCCGUGCCAGCCGCCGCGGU
rnacentral:rRNA from 1 species